UUUUUUUUUUCAUCGUGAAUAAGGUUAACUAUUAGUGUCCUGUAACCAGGAAGUUACUGACAUGUGUGAUUUUCAGUGACUGCGUUUGCUCCCUGGCUUGAAAACCCUAAGAACUGCUGCUCUAUCUAGAAGGGUAGACUGUGACUGUUGGUUCCUCCAUUUAUACUUGUGCAGCUUGGGUCUGAGUUUUUAAAGACUUAAAAAACUUCCCAAGACAUGUCCUUAGCAUAAGAGCAGUUUGAAUUGUAUCUGUGGCUUUUCCUGGGUUAACAGUAGGCUCAUUGAAAUUGUUUGAAUUACAUAGUAAAAACAACUAUGGUGAAGAAGUAUAAUCUGAUUUUCAAAAGCUGAAUCACAUUUUUUAUCUUGAACUAAUAUAACAGUAACAUUGAAAUUCAAGACCACUGGAACAUGCCAACAUUUGUUUUUGGGGUUGUGUACGUGGUUUAUGUUGUGUUGACUUGUUUGCUUGUUUUUAAACUGAAACCACUGCAUCUGCUAGUGAACAAACCAUAUUUUGCUCUGAAAAUUCUGAAAUUGUUCAGGCUUAUUGUGGUUCUGAGAUGACAAAGAAUAAUGCUAGUUAAAUGCCAAUGAACUAUUUUUACUCUUUUUAUAUUAAAUGUGCAAAUUUUGGGGGUGAUGGUGGCAGUGGUGCCUCUGACCACCUUCUGUAACACACUUGAACAUCCUCAUCUGUGUUGCUGUCAUCUGUUUAACGCUCCCAGUAUAUUUUCUCAGUCUGUCUACCUAAAAUUGUAUGGAAUGACAUAAUUAGUAAGCAAUAAAACCUGAAUUACAAAAAAAAAAAAUAGGACGAUGCCCUAGUUCUGAGCUGCUUUUAGGGAUUUUCACAAGUGUAUCUGUUCAUUCAUUCAUUCAUCCACAGAUAAGCAUUUAUUGAGAACCUAUUCUAUGCCAGGUCUGAAAUUGAUGCUCGAAGUGCAAAAAGGCAUAAAUCACAUUUCUCCUACAGAUAAAGUGGUGAUUCUAGCACAUGAUUUUAAAUGGGACCGGGAGAUCCCACACGUAUCAUCAAAAUGCAAACCCUAUUUUCUCUAUCACCAAGACAUGGAGUUUCUCUAUAUUUUCUACUCAUUUGUGCCUGCAUAAUCUUCUGUAUUUUGAUGGGUAAAUCUGCAAGAAAACAUCACACUGGAUUAUAAGUAAUGGAGGAAGACCUGCAUUUAUCCCUGGCUCUGAUGUGAAUUGUUGAGAGAACUUGGGCAAGUUAUUCGUUUUUCUGAACUUUGAUUUCUCAUCUGUAAGAUGAUGGACUGAGUUAGCCAUAGCUACAUAUAGAAAAUGGAGGCAGAGAUGUUUGAUUAAACUGAGGAGGGGCAGAAAGAGGGAUUGGAAUCUUAGAGCC
rnacentral:lncRNA from 1 species